UUCUGCGAUUUUGAAAACCCAGGAAAUUUUCGGCGAUUUAUAAUAAAAACCGCCCCUAAAUUGUUUUUCUAUUUUUUAAAUAAUUUUCCAAAAAUAUCUACCUGACUCCCUUUUCCUAAAAUACUUUGUGACACAUUUCUGCUCCUAAUUUUCCCUAAACCCUAAUUCUCUCUCUCAAUUCAUUUCUGCCUUCGUACAUUUUCCUCCAAAAAGUUCACCAUAAUCAUUUUCCUCCAAGCCCCGCACCAUCUUCUUGUUGGUCUUCCCUUGCGUUGUGUUCGUCGUCGAGGCGUCGAGACGUUGUGUUCGCUCUCGGAAUUCCUCACAGCUGCGAGUGUCUCCAUUAACGUCAGGGAGACUGUCUCACAGCAGUGAACCUUUGAGCGGUGGUGCUUCUUUAACUGGAAUGGACAGUCCACCAAUCUCUCCUUUUGAUGAUGUUGUCAAAUUAAAAGACAAAUUAAAAUUGUACCAGAUUUCUUGUGCAUAUGACUUAAGACAUUAAAUUUGAUUCAAAACUAAAAUGACUCAAGCAAAGUGAUUCCAUCGAAUAAAAUCAGAAAAUAAACUUGACUCAAGGUAUUAAACACUCAACUAAGCACACAAAAGACAUAACAAAAUUUGAUUCAAAACUAAAAUGACUCAAGCAAAGUGAUUCCACCAAAAAUUAGCCUUAAACAGGCUGAGGUUGUUGACUCUGUUAGUGCUACUGAUGAUGAUCAUCCAGAGUUUCAAUUGAAAAGAUAUGACUACUUUGAUUUUGGUAAUAAACUUCAUUCUUAUGUAAAAGAUAUGCUUCAAGAUUGUUGCUAACACCCUCAAAGGUGUAGGCUUGUUGUCUAGGAGUUUUGGUCAUUAUGAUUUUGUUAUUCUUAAUUGUAUCGGUUAGAUAUUCUGGAAAAUAUCUUGUCAUAUUUUUAUUGUAUCUUUUAGACAAUUUAGAGCAUCUUAGAUGUACUAGAAGUGGUUUCCUGAUUUUGUUUCAUUUCCUUAUUUAAUUUGGAUUAAAGUUAAGUAAUAGUACAAAUAAGGUUUAGUGUUUCAAAUUUUAACACAUCUUUAUGUGCAAGAAUAUUCGUAAAAUCACCUUUCUAUUAAUGAAAGACUAUUUUUCUCCUCUACCUAAACUAUUUUAUUUUAACUUGGUGCGCUAUGACUCAGUCGUCAAGAGUUCUAACCAUGCCACUUCCAUUCCUUGAAAAAGAAUGACUUUAAGGAGAAGGUAAGGUGAACCUGUACACUGUGGUACAAGAGUGCAUGCUCUUUACUAUCAUUGUCUCUGCAAUUGUAUUCUUUGGAUGCCUUUGUGGUGUUUGUUUUUUCUGGGUUCUACCCUUUAUCCCCUUUCCUGGAUGUCUGUUCUUCGAACAUUCUUAUGUUGUUUGCUUACCUUUUUAAAGCAUGAUCUUUGCUCAUUUCCCUUUCUGAUUUGUUGUUGUUGUAUGUUCAUGACACAGAGAAACACUAGUUGUUUACAGUUCAAAUUAAAGACGAGUAAGAAGAUUGGUUGUUUCCAGAUUUCAAAGGUUAAACACUACCUACCUGUGAAAUUAUUCUACAAACAUUAAGAAAUAAUGACUUUGAACAAAUGAACCUGUGAAAUUUUUCAUUUAAAUUUAGGCUUUGGUAGGAAUACAAUUACCAUAAAUAUUGACUCUUUACUAGCUAUGUUGUGGAAUGAAAACGAGAUGAAAAGAGCAAGAAGAACCUUGUACCUGUAUCGUGGACCUUGUAAGUUGUUCAACAAGUACUUGUUUCUAAAACAAUAUAUUGUGAGAAAGCAUAUUCAUAAGAUGUUGCUAUUGGGGGACAUAAAGACAAGGUUCUUUCAAAUUGAUAUAGUUUAUGAUUAAGUGAGUGAAUAAUGGAAACCAUGAGGUGUUGUGGUGACAGUGGAUUUAGUGAUAUUAGGAGACAGAGGGGGCAAUCAACAGUGAUGUUUCUUCUACCUUGGAAAUUGAUUUCAUAGCAUAAUGAAAACAUUACAGCAUAUAAGUUCUGGUGCUUCUAUUGGGUUGGUGGCUUGUAUUAGGAGUAGAGAAGGGAAAAGGGUUCUUAAGGAGUUUAUUAAGGAGUAAGGGGAGCAAUAUUGGAAUCACAUGUUAAUUGUAUGGCUGGGAAGGUGAUUCUUCUUGUCUCCUGUGUUUUUUUUUUCUGCAUGCAUCUGCACCUUAAACAACAUUUCGUUUCAAGAACAAUGUACCUAGCAAACAUAUUUUCCCAUAGACAGCAUAACAGAGGCUAGAAAGUCGUGAUAAAUACAUUUACACGUUGCACAUAGGAUGUUCAAAUAAAACAUUUGUCUGUAUCCAUUAAAUUCGCAAGUCUCUGUAAGGCUCUUCCAUUCCUUUCACUUAAUUUUCCUACUUUUUUCUUACUUUUCUUUUUCUGCAUUCUCUUAUUUCAUUCUCCACGAGGCUGAUGACAUGCAUGCUCAUCCAACACAAUUUUUCUUUUUCCCUUCUCUUUGCUCCUUUACUUAUGGUUGGAGCAUUACAUCAUUGAUGCACAUAAGUGAUUUCCCCGAGUGACAACAACUAUCAAUGGUCAAUUUAUAAUAGAGAUAUGUAUGUUUGUGAUUCCUUAUUAGGUAUAUAUAUCCAUACACACACACGUAUAUAUAUAUAUAUAUAUAUAUAUAUAUAUAUAUAUAUAUAUAUAUAUAUAUAUAUAUAUAUAUAUUCAUAAAAUAUAUAUACAUAUAUAGCAGAAAAAUAAAAACCACUAAAAGUCUCUGUCCCCAUGGACAUAUCCCCUUACUUUCUAGUCUAUUCUUUGUGAAGGCCCAACUUUUAACAACUCUGUGUGGUCCUUUACAAUGUUCGCAUUUUUUAUCGGUGAUCAUGUGUUAGUGGCAAUUCUGUCCUUGUACGUGGUCCACACGUACGCUGUUCAACCAAAUGGAGAAAAAGAAAGUAGCAUUUCUCUGACCUUUAAUCUUAAGCAAAUAUUUAACUUGUAUUAACAAGCAAAUAUUUUAGUUCUUUCUUUCUGGAGUUUUAAGAUUUUUAACUUUUAGAUUUCAAAUGUUCAGAAAGGAACUGUUCAACUGGCCUGUAUCUAUAACUUAUUUUAUGAUUUAUAUAUAUACCUGCACUCAGUUCAGCAGCCUCCAUGGAAAAACUUCAAGUUUUACAUGAUUGGGAGAAAUAAAUGACAUUGUUUUUAGAUAAAUAUAUGCAUGGAUAAUCUGGCUAACGUGUUAAGUAAUGGUGAGUAAACAUCUAAUUAACUGUCAGUUGAUAUUUAGAUAGAUAAAGAAAAAAAAAGAGUUCUAAAAAGGUUGGUAAUAGGAUUUGAUAAAACAAUUAAUGAAAUGUUUAAAGUGAUAAAUAUCGUAAGUGUUGUGAUAUAUACAUAGGCUUAUUAAUCUUUACUUUGCAGCCGAUAUAAUUAUGUUUUAUUGCAAAGAUAUCUACAUAGGCUUAUUAAUCUUCGUUGGAAGAAACCGGUUUUGUUUUGAGUUGUUAUCCUUUAGUGAGACUGAAAUCAUUGCGUAAUUCUGUAUUUUCUUUUCUUGGUAUCUGAUAAAACACUUGUUUAUAUAAAACUCUUUGUUUCCGUAAAAGUUAACAUUUUUCUGAGCCCAAAGGUUUUAUUUUGCUGGCAUGGAGACAAUGAAGGAGAGACAGUGAAGGAGAUAGUGAAGUAUGCCACUAUAAUUAUUAUAGGUAUCUUCAUUGACAUCACAAGUCAAUGAAAUGAAGACAAUCAUUACACUUUUGUUGUAAAAUUAUCAAGGUCCAUUGUCUUCACAAUUAAGGUCCAUUGUCUUCACAAUUUGCAGUAUUUCAAAGAUCAUCGGUAUCUGAUUAAGGGAGUGAGCCAAACAAUGGAUGUAAUGAAGAGAAAAUUAGAUAUUGUUACUGAAUACUUUUAUGAGUCAUACUUUUAGUAUUGAACAUAUGUAAUGAACCUCUUUCUUUUUAAUUUUUAUGUAUGAACAAUUAGUUGUAUGAAUGAUAUUAGGUUGAACAAUGUAGUUUAUUUUAUACAAUAUUAUUAAAUUUUAGUUCAUAUUAAUUUA